rnacentral:rRNA from 1 species
AUUGAACGCUGGCGGCAGGCCUAACACAUGCAAGUCGAGCGGGGUUUUCGGACCUAGCGGCGGACGGGUGAGUAAUGCGUAGGAAGCUACCCGAUAGAGGGGGAUACCAGUUGGAAACGACUGUUAAUACCGCAUAAUGUCUACGGACCAAAGUGUGGGACCUUCGGGCCACAUGCUAUCGGAUGCGCCUACGUGGGAUUAGCUAGUUGGUGAGGUAAUGGCUCACCAAGGCGACGAUCCCUAGCAGGUUGGAGAGGAUGAUCAGCCACACUGGAACUGAGACACGGGCCAGACUCCUACGGGAGGCAGCAGUGGGGAAUAUUGGACAAUGGGCGCAAGCCUGAUCCAGCCAUGCCGCGUGUGUGAAGAAGGCCUUCGGGUUGUAAAGCACUUUCAGUAGGGAGGAAGCGUUGUGUGUUAAUAGUACACAGCGUUGACGUUACCUACAGAAGAAGCACCGGCUAACUCUGUGCCAGCAGCCGCAGUAAUAC